AGCUGAUGCAGCGACGCCGCGUGAGGGAUGGAGGCCUUCGGGUUGUGAACCUCUUUCGCCAGUGAAGCAGGCCUGUCCCUUGUGGGUGGGUUGACGGUAGCUGGAUAAGAAGCGCCGGCUAACUACGUGCCAGCAGCCGCGGUAAUACGUAGGGCGCGAGCGUUGUCCGGAAUUAUUGGGCGUAAAGAGCUCGUAGGCGGCUGGUCGCGUCUGUCGUGAAAUCCUCUGGCUUAACUGGGGGCUUGCGGUGGGUACGGGCCGGCUUGAGUGCGGUAGGGGAGACUGGAACUCCUGGUGUAGCGGUGGAAUGCGCAGAUAUCAGGAAGAACACCGGUGGCGAAGGCGGGUCUCUGGGCCGUUACUGACGCUGAGGAGCGAAAGCGUGGGGAGCGAACA
rnacentral:rRNA from 1 species